AGUUGGCUGCUGUGAGGACAAGGUAGAGUCAGUGCCUAGAGGACCUGCCUACAGGAAACAUCAAGGAGGCCACCUGUUCUGUAGCCGCAUAAAACCAAACAGCUGUGAACCCAGUGAACUCCAGGAAAGUGCAUGAAUGCAACACUGCAGAUCAGGAGCCUGGAUGUGACCUAACUCCAGUUUCAGGAACAAAACAAAUAAAAAACCAAAGUGGUGUUUGCGUGACAUUUUUAGUGGCCUGAAAACCUGCCAUAUCAUGUUGCACCUAAUCUGCAGCUGCCAGCAUGUCCUGAUCCUGCCUGCCCUCCCAUGGUCCCCCCAGCUCCCUGGCAGAGAACUCAGCACCAGCUGCACAGGGUUUUGUUCGGGGCGAGCCAGGUGAUUGAUUCAGCUCACCUUGCAGCCACACAAUCAUUACACCUGCUGGAGGAAAGGAAGAGGGGACACACAGCCAGGCACAGGCAGAUUGAUGGGGGACAUUAGCCCUUUCAUUAGCAUUGCCCCAUCAAAUGGGGCAGGUUCACAUGAAAAUGUAUGCUGAGAAAAAGCAACACUUCAUUUCCCUGGUGCUUCAAUAAACUAUAUAAAGCACUAACAAAUUCCCACAUGCAUUGAAGUCAAAACAAAACAAUGUGGUCACAGGUGAGAAUCAUGUUUGGUAAACUUUUAAGUGUGAAUGUGUCAAAACCAGGGCAGAAUGACAGAAAAGGGUGAAGAUUCGUUGUGGAGUGCAACAGUAUGUAUAAAAUAUUACACAUGCAUCAAAACAGAGUGAGAUUUUCCAUGCACUUCAGUUCAAUCUCACAGCUUGGUUAAUUGAUUUGGAUGCUGCUUCAAAAAUCUGCUUCCUAUUUAAAGCUAAAGACGGAACAUUUGAGACUUCACACGAGUUCCUCAGCAUUGACCUCAUUCACACAUUUUAUAAAGUAACCACUCUGACAGCAAGGACCAAAGGACAGGGUCCCAAAGGCUUUAUGUGAGAGCUGUGCGUGUCAUUUCCAGGAAAAGAGAGUCCUCUAGCGGUGAAUUCCGAGUUUUCUCUCCAAUGUAGCAUUUGAAGGAUUUAACUUUUAACUGGGUUUCUAAUGCAAAAAAUACUCCAGCUUAAAAGUCCUUGCUGAAGGUACAGUGAACAUUUUAAUACCUACAAGUUCAUGCUCAUUGUCAGCUUCAUUGACAAAGCUUCUUGCUCCUUUUACUCGGGCUUUUUCUUUUGUUCUUGGCUUAUUUGGUUUGGUUUUAAGGAGAUUACACCUGUAUUAGCAAUCAACAAAUAUAUACAUGCUUUAAUAAUCUUAUUUUUUCUGCUAUUAAAAAGAACUGCCAUCUGAAAAAGAA